rnacentral:rRNA from 1 species
GUCACGCUGUAAACGAUGUCGAUUUGGAGUUUGUUGCCUAGAGUGAUGGGCUCCGAAGCUAACGCGAUAAAUCGACCGCCUGGGGAGUACGGCCGCAAGGUUAAAACUCAAAUGAAUUGACGGGGGCCCGCACAAGCGGUGGAGCAUGUGGUUUAAUUCGAUGCAACGCGAAGAACCUUACCCGGUCUUGACAUCCAUAGAAUUCUGCAGAGAUGUGGGAGUGCCUUCGGGGACUAUGAGACAGGUGCUGCAUGGCUGUCGUCAGCUCGUGUUGUGAAAUGUUGGGUUAAGUCCCGCAACGAGCGCAACCCUUAUUCUUUGUUGCCAGCGAUUUGGUCGGGAACUCAAAGGAGACUGCCGUUGAUAAAGCGGAGGAAGGUGGGGACGACGUCAAGUCAUCAUGGCCCUUACGACCAGGGCUACACACGUGCUACAAUGGCGUAUACAAAGGGAAGCGAAGGUGCGAGCUGGAGCGGAUCUCAUAAAGUACGUCUAAGUUCGGAUUGGAGUCUGCAACUCGACUCCAUGAAGUCGGAAUCGCUAGUAAUCGUAGAUCAGAAUGCUACGGUGAAUACGUUCCCGGGCCUUGUACACACCGCCCGUCACACCAUGGGAGUGGGUUGCACCAGAAGUAGAUAGCUUAACCGCGAGGGGGGCGUUUACCACGGUGUGAUUCAUGACUGGGGUGAAGUCGUAACAAGGUAACCA